GAGAGAACCUGAGAAUUUAGGAUUUCAAAAAUACAUAGGAAAGGAGCCCUCUCAUGGCUGCUAGUGUUAGGUUUUGAUGGAGAACAAGGGAAAAAGAAAAAAAAUAUGAAACUCCUUAUAAUUUUAACCAGAGGAGAAAUUGAAAAUAAAAUUAAAAACACAAGAAAAAUUCCGAAAAAAAAAAUGUUAAAUACUCUUUUUCCAACAUUACUCAGUAUUUUACAUUCCUAACCCUGGAAAAAGGUACCAAAAUAGGAAAUAAAGGGAUCAAAUAAGUAAUUUCAGGCUGGUGUUUCAAAUUUAAAGAAUUCUGGCCACGCGUUUCACUCAGUCUUCUGCCACAACCUGCUAAUAGCUCAUCCUUUGCUGAGUCUUGCGUCCUUAACGAUGGCGGCGGCGGCCACCUCAGCGGCUACCACUAUCCCUAAACCCUCUGCUCACCUUUCUUCUUCCUCCAGAUCUUCAAUCUCCAUUUCCAGAUUCACCCUCCCAUUGUCUCUCAACCCCCAAAAGACCAUUCCCCACCGCUCUCUCCACAUCUCAAACGCCGUAUCUAAACCUACCACCCCUGCCCCCUCCUCCUCCUUCUCCUCCUCCUCCUCCACCUCCACCACCACUCGUCAAGAGUCUCCUCCAAGAUUUUCCCCUGAUGAAGCUCGAAAAGGCGCCGACAUCCUUGUUGAAGCGCUGGAACGCCAAGGGGUCACAGACGUGUUUGCUUAUCCAGGCGGCGCAUCCAUGGAGAUCCACCAAGCCCUAACUCGCUCUCCUAUAAUUCGUAAUGUCCUUCCGCGCCAUGAGCAAGGUGGGGUCUUUGCGGCUGAGGGAUAUGCUCGCGCUUCUGGCAAACCUGGCGUCUGCAUCGCAACCUCGGGACCCGGCGCCACAAAUCUCGUCAGCGGCUUGGCAGACGCUCUCCUUGACAGCGUCCCCAUUGUGGCUAUCACUGGCCAAGUCCCUCGCCGCAUGAUAGGCACCGACGCAUUCCAAGAAACUCCCAUUGUUGAGGUAAGUCGGUCAAUAACCAAGCACAAUUACCUGGUCCUUGAUGUUGAUGAUAUUCCUAGAAUUGUAAGUGAAGCUUUCUUUUUGGCCACCUCGGGACGUCCUGGCCCAGUUCUAAUUGAUGUACCAAAAGAUAUACAACAACAAUUAGCGGUUCCCAAUUGGAAUACACCUAUUAAAUUGCCUGGUUACAUGUCGAGGUUGCCUAAAGUGCCCAAUGAUUCACAUUUGGAGCAGAUUGUGAGGCUAAUUUUUGAGUCAAAGAAACCUGUUUUAUACGUGGGAGGUGGGUGUUUAAAUUCAAGCGAGGAAUUGAGGAAGUUUGUUGAGUUAACUGGGAUCCCAGUGGCUAGUACUUUGAUGGGGCUUGGAGCAUUCCCAGUUGGCCAUGAAUUAUCAUUGCAAAUGCUUGGAAUGCAUGGAACUGUUUAUGCUAACUAUUCAGUGGAUAAGAGUGAUUUGUUGCUUGCAUUUGGGGUAAGGUUUGAUGACAGGGUAACAGGCAAGCUUGAGGCUUUUGCAAGCAGAGCUAAGAUUGUUCAUAUUGAUAUUGACUCCGCUGAGAUUGGGAAGAAUAAGCAGCCCCAUGUGUCUGUUUGUGCAGAUGUGAAUUUUGCGUUACAAGGUAUGAACAAGAUUUUGGAGAGCAGAAAUGCUAAGAGUAAGCUAGAUUUUAGGGCUUGGAGAGAGGAGUUGAAUGAGCAAAAGAGUAAAUAUCCAUUGAAAUAUAAGACUUUUGGACAUGCAAUUCCUCCUCAGUACGCCAUACAAGUUCUUGAUGAGUUAACAAAUGGGAAUGCCAUUAUAAGUACUGGCGUUGGGCAACAUCAGAUGUGGGCUGCUCAAUUUUACAAGUACAAGAGACCACGGCAAUGGUUGACAUCAGGGGGAUUAGGGGCUAUGGGUUUUGGAUUGCCUGCUGCUGUUGGGGCUGCUGUUGCUAAUCCUGGUGCAGUAGUUGUAGAUAUUGAUGGUGAUGGAAGUUUUAUCAUGAAUGUCCAGGAGUUGGCAACUAUUCGUGUGGAGAAUUUGCCCAUCAAAAUAAUGCUUCUGAAUAAUCAGCAUUUAGGAAUGGUGAUGCAAUGGGAGGACCGAUUCUACAAGGCUAAUAGAGCUCAUACUUAUUUGGGGGAUCCAUCAAGAGAAUCUGAGAUUUUCCCCAAUAUGUUGAAGUUUGCUGAAGCUUGUGGAAUACCUGCUGCGCGUGUGACAAGAAAAGAGGAUCUUAGAAUGGCGAUUCAGAAUAUGUUGGAUACUCCUGGGCCAUACUUGUUGGAUGUGAUUGUACCCCAUCAAGAACAUGUGCUGCCCAUGAUCCCAAGUGGGGGGGCUUUUAAAGAUGUGAUAACUGAGGGUGAUGGAAGAACGAAGUAUUGAUCUUUACCAGCAGCAAAUAUGUUAAGGAUUAUGUAUGUUAUGUGGAAUUCCAUGCUUAAAACUAAGGAGUGGCAGGUUUUUUUAAGUUUACUAGUUAGUUAUUUAAUAGUAUCGAUGGUUGUUGUUUGGAUGAAACUUGUGUAUCUGCUUUGUUCUUGUCAGUUUUGCUAAUUUGAACAAGUAGUUUGUUUUUUAACUUCUACGCCUUUAGAAUAUUCUAAUUGCAUUUUUAGGGAAUAAAGUAUAAUCAAUGGAUGGAACUCUUACUGGUUGUUGAUUCCCUAAAUCGAGUAAUAUGCCAUUUUUAGAUGCAUGAUGCAAUUGGUUUGGACAUAUUUGAGCUUGCGAUUGACAUGUUAUCAACUUGGGUUGAAUCAUCUUCCUGUCUUGACUAUUGUAGUGGAAUUACUAGAUAACACGUGUUGAAGAUUACAAUUUGAAACUUGCUUUCCUCGACACGGUUAACCAAAUAGAUUGGCGUUGGAAUCUGUUCAUUUCUAGCUGUUAUCUGGUUUUACAUCAUUUUCUAUGGAUUUAUGGCUUUUCCUUUCAUUAGUAGAUUUGACACUGUGUAUGCCUGCCUUGCUGAUUGGAUUUUCCAACAUUAUGUCAACUGCAGGACGAGGUUUAGUGUGUUGAGCCACUGAAGUUUUGUCUUGGUAUGAGGUUAGCGGGGUAACAGCCAAUAACCAUAUCAUCACUAAAUGUAUUUCUAUAUAUUAUUAUUACUAGCUAAUUACCACGCUAUACUAUGUCAACUUAAAUAAAAUAAAAUUAAUAGUAAAUGGUAGAAUUUAUGGACAAGUAAAAAAAAAAAA
rnacentral:misc_RNA from 1 species